GACAGAGGGUGCAAACGUUGUUCGGAAUUACUGGGCGUAAAGGGCGCGUAGGCGGCCCGGUAAGUCAAAGGUGAAAUCCCUCGGCUCAACUGAGGAACUGCCUUUGAAACUGUCGGGCUUGAGGCCGGGAGGGGGUAGCGGAAUUCCCAGUGUAGCGGUGAAAUGCGUAGAUAUUGGGAGGAACACCAGUGGCGAAGGCGGCUACCUGGACCGGUUCUGACGCUGAUGCGCGAAAGCGUGGGUAGCAAACAGG
rnacentral:rRNA from 1 species